CUCGCGGGGAGAAACGCGUCCAGCGCUCGCGUGACCUCCUGCCGUUAGAGCAUUUUCGCAAGGAGACGGAGCGAAAGGGACCAAACUUUAGUCAGCAGUUCACCUUCACGUUGUAUUCUCAAGAUUUGUAUAGAGUAGGCACUUGGUAAACGCUAAAUGAAUAUUGUAAUAGCAUUCGUUAGCGAUGCUGUUGUGUAUGGUGAAAGCCUGCAGCUGUACAAAGUUUUCCUUUGCCAGGCACUGAUCCCAGCAUUUUACAUCUGGUAACUAAAUCGAUCCUCUCAAUAACCUGUGACGUAAGUACUUAAGGGCCACAGUCCGUUAUCUGAGCCCUUUGACCCAGGUGUGUCUUUACAGGAUUUUUCAAAUUUUAGAAAGCUAAGAGACUAUGAGAGGCCGGGCGCAGUGGCUCACGCCUGUAAUCCCAGCACUUUGGGAUGCCGAGGCGGGCGGAUCACCUGAGGUCAGGCGUUGAAGACCAGCCUAGUCAACAUGGUGAAACCCCCGUCUCUACUAAAAAUCCAAAAAUUAGCCGGGCGUGGUGGCAUGCGCCUGUAAUCCCAGCUACUUGGGAGGCUGAGGCAGGAGAAUAACUUGAA
rnacentral:lncRNA from 10 species